rnacentral:rRNA from 1 species
CCAAUAGCGUAUAUUAAAGUUGUUGCAGUUAAAAAGCUCGUAGUUGAAUUUCGGGAUCAAUAUGUUUGGUCGUGCCUCGGUACGUACUAGCUUAUUGGUUUCUCCUUUCUGAAGAACCAUGAUGUCAUUCAUUUGGUGUCGUGGGGAAUCAGGACUGUUACUUUGAAAAAAUUAGAGUGUUUAAAGCAGGCUCACGCUUGAAUGCAUUAGCAUGGAAUAAUGAAAUAGGACGUUUGAUUCUAUUUUGUUGGUUUCUAGGAUCGACGUAAUGAUUAAUAGGGAUAGUUGGGGGCAUUAGUAUUCAAUUGUCAGAGGUGAAAUUCUUGGAUUUAUUGAAGACUAACUACUGCGAAAGCAUUUGCCAAGGAUGUUUUCAUUAAUCAAGAACGAAAGUUAGGGGAUCGAAGACGAUCAGAUACCGUCGUAGUCUUAACCAUAAACUAUGCCGACUAGGGAUCGGAUGAUGUUAAUUUUUUAAUGACUCAUUCGGCGCCUUACG